rnacentral:lncRNA from 1 species
GCCCCGCCCCGUCGGCCAGGCCCCGCCCCGUCGGAGCCCCUCCCCCUGGCUGCGGGUAGCCUUCCGCUCGGUCGGAGCCGCGGUCACGGGGCUUGGCGGUGGCCCUCGUCCUUCGUUACUCAGGAGAAAAAAAGAGGGAGAGAGAGAGAGAAAAUCAAGUCGCAGCCGGCUUGGCCCGGUGUUGGGGGCGGUCGCGCGGAACGCCAUCCUGCCUGAAACUCAGGAAACACAAGGUCCCUGGUUGUGUAAUAUGAGUACACUUGAAAGUUCCUCGUCCUUAUCUGGCAACCCAGAUGGAUAAAUACUGGCCCUGAAGAUGCUUUUCUUAAAACUGUUCAGUGCCUACAGACCCACUUUUGUUUAUGUUGGAGCUAGACAGCUCAGGUUUCUCCCUGCCCGAGGGAACACUCUGUUCCCCUUGCUGGAUUCCAGGAGCACAAGUGGCUGCAGAACAGAGCUUGGGAAGAACCAGUUAUUCUUCUGUCAGUUCAAAACUGGGGGCCCCUUCCCUCUAGCAUUCAUCCUCUGCUUGCCGGGGCAUAUCAAUUUCACCCAAAUCACGUGGACUAAGGUGGUGAUGGUGGGCUGUGGUAGGUAUGAUUUCCCCAAAGAAAAUUCAGAUGAAGUCACCAGAGGGAAGAAGGAAGAAUGGAUGUUUAUGCAAAAGACGCAGAUGUCCACAACAGUUCCCACAUGGGAAGAGAAUAAUCCAGGUUUAAGAGCCCUGGCUUGGGACCCCAGUGUCUGGGGAUGGAGUCCCAGCUCUACCAUUUACAAAUUGUGUGACCAUGGCUGGAUCAUGUCACCAGUCAGUAUGGGUCUGUGUCCCCAUUAACAAAUGGGAGUGAUGGUCCAGCAUUGUGGGCCUGAAUCAGAGUGACAGCACAUUGCAAAGGCACCAUGUAAGCUCCAGCAGGUGUGUCACAGCUACUUGUGGUGUCAUGAAAUCUGAAGUCUCUGAUCCAGUGAAUCAGCUUCUGAAUAUUUAAUCAAAGGAAAUUAAAACACUAACUCAGGAGUUCCCAUCAUGGUGCAGUGGUUAACGGAUCCGACUAGGAACCAUAAGGUUGCGAGUUCGAUCCCUGGCCUUGCUCAGUGGGUCGAGGAUCCAGCAUUGCCGUGAGCUGUGGUGUAAGUUGCAGACACGGCUGGGAUCCUGCGUUGCUGCGGCUCUGGCGUAGGCCGGUGGCUAUAGCUCCAAUUAGACCCCUAGCCUGGGAAUCUCCAUAUGCCGCUGGAGCGGCCCUAGAAAAAGGCAAAAAGACAAAACAAACAAACAAACAAACAAAAAAACACUAACUCAAAAAGGUAUCUGUACCCCCAUGUUCAUUGCAGCAUUAUUUACAAUAGCCAGGAUAUGCAAACAACCUAAGUGUCUAUUGAUGGAUGAAUCAAUAAAGAAAUGUGGUGUGUAUAUGUAAUGGAAUAU